UACGUAGGGUGCGAGCGUUGUCCGGAAUUACUGGGCGUAAAGAGCUCGUAGGUGGUUUGUCGCGUUGUCCGUGAAAACUCACAACUCAAUUGUGGGCGUGCGGGCGAUACGGGCAGACUGGAGUACUGCAGGGGAGACCGGAAUUCCUGGUGUAGCGGUGGAAUGCGCAGAUAUCAGGAGGAACACCGGUGGCGAAGGCGGGUCUCUGGGCAGUAACUGACGCUGAGGAGCGAAAGCGUGGGGAGCGAACAGG
rnacentral:rRNA from 1 species